rnacentral:lncRNA from 1 species
GAGAGAUCCAGAUCUGGAGUAGAAGAACGAAAGUGAUUGGCAAGAGUCUGCUCAGCAGGAAAAGCUCUACUGAUCUACUCCAUAGCUCCCUCUCUGUCUGGCUCCUGUUUCAUUCUUCCCAUUACAAAAAUCCAGGGAAACUAUUGGGCAAAGGCAGAGUCUCCUCCAAGGGCCUCAGUUGCUGGGCAGGCAAAGACCAAAUGGUCUUUUCUUUAAGGGGGCGGGGUGCUAUAAUCACUUAUAUUAAUUAUUCAACCACAUAAAUUAACUUCCAGGACUCUGGAUAUAUUUCGGGGGAAGAGUCUAAAUAAUUCAUAUUUGAUUCAUAAUACGUGCAUAUUCUAAUACCAGAUAAUUGGAAAAUUAUACACCAGAAAUACUGUUCAUGCAAAUAUGCAUUGUUACUCUCUGCAUAAAGGAGGCAUUGCAGGCAUAAUUAAUAAUGAUGGUGCCAUAAUAACAAUAAAAGGGAGAGACACAACUGGCUCCAGCCCUUUUCCUGCCUCUUCCUGCUUUGAAUACUCACAUGAUACCUGGAGCUGCAGCAGCCAUCUUGUUUACCAAGAAGAAAAGCCAAGAUGAUCACAGAAUAGCCAGCACUGGUAUUGUUCCGCCAGCGACAGCAGAUACUUACCUCCAGAUUUUUGGGGAAAAAAAAUGAGCUGGAGUGACUCUCUUGGUCCCUAAGGUGGAAGCCAUGUGUUGAGGACACUGAGCAACAAGAUAGGAGGAGCCUGGGGCCCAGCCAGAGAACAGGAAGCCACCCAAAUAGCUCUCAACCCCUUAUAGAUGGACUACUAAAUGGGAAAUAAAGUAGACUGUUCUCUCUUGA